GACGAACCGUGCGAACGUUAUUCGGAAUCACUGGGCUUAAAGCGCGUGUAGGCGGAUGGGUACGUCGGUCGCUGAAAUCCCCCGGCUCAACCGGGGAACGGGCGCCGAAACGCCCCGUCUCGAGGGACGUAGGGGGACCUGGAACUUCCGGUGGAGCGGUGAAAUGCGUUGAGAUCGGAAGGAACGCCCGUGGCGAAAGCGAGGUCCUGGACGUCUUCUGACGCUGAGACGCGAAAGCUAGGGGAGCGAACGGG
rnacentral:rRNA from 1 species